AAAAGCCGUCGCCCCGGCGGAGGCCGGGGCCUCAGGAGAGUCGCACCACCUCCACUCCGUCCCAGUCUCCUGAGGCCCCGGCCUCCGCCGGGGCGACGAUCAUU
rnacentral:pre_miRNA from 1 species